rnacentral:rRNA from 1 species
GAUGAACGCUAGCGGCAGGCCUAAUACAUGCAAGUCGAGGGAGAAGUCGUCUUCGGAUGGCGGGAGCCGGCGAACGGGUGCGUAACACGUAUGCAAUCUGCCUCUGACUGGGGAAUAGCCCGGGGAAACUCGGAUUAAUACCCCAUAACAUUACGAAAUGGCAUCAUUUUGUAAUCAAAGCUCCGGCGGUCAGAGAUGAGCAUGCGGCCCAUUAGCUAGUUGGUGAGGUAAUGGCUCACCAAGGCUACGAUGGGUAGGGGGUCUGAGAGGAUGAUCCCCCACACUGGUACUGAGACACGGACCAGACUCCUACGGGAGGCAGCAGUAGGGAAUAUUGGGCAAUGGACGCAAGUCUGACCCAGCCAUGCCGCGUGCAGGAUGACGGCCCUAUGGGUUGUAAACUGCUUUUCUACGGGAAGAAACACUCCGACGUGUCGGAGCUUGACGGUACCGUAGGAAUAAGGAUCGGCUAACUCCGUGCCAGCCGCCGCGGUAAUAC